GAUGAACGCUGGCGGCGUGCCUAAUACAUGCAAGUCGAGCGAACAGAUAAGGAGCUUGCUCCUUUGACGUUAGCGGCGGACGGGUGAGUAACACGUGGGUAACCUACCUAUAAGACUGGGAUAACUUCGGGAAACCGGAGCUAAUACCGGAUAACAUUUGGAACCGCAUGGUUCUAAAGUGAAAGAUGGUUUUGCUAUCACUUAUAGAUGGACCCGCGCCGUAUUAGCUAGUUGGUAAGGUAACGGCUUACCAAGGCGACGAUACGUAGCCGACCUGAGAGGGUGAUCGGCCACACUGGAACUGAGACACGGUCCAGACUCCUACGGGAGGCAGCAGUAGGGAAUCUUCCGCAAUGGGCGAAAGCCUGACGGAGCAACGCCGCGUGAGUGAUGAAGGGUCUCGGCUCGUAAAACUCUGUUAUUAGGGAAGAACAAAUGUGUAAGUAACUGUGCACAUCUUGACGGUACCUAAUCAGAAAGCCACGGCUAACUACGUGCCAGCAGCCGCGGUAAUACGUAGGUGGCAAGCGUUAUCCGGAAUUAUUGGGCGUAAAGCGCGCGUAGGCGGUUUCUUAAGUCUGAUGUGAAAGCCCACGGCUCAACCGUGGAGGUCAUUGGAAACUGGGAAACUUGAGUGCAGAAGAGGAAAGUGGAAUUCCAUGUGUAGCGGUGAAAUGCGCAGAGAUNUGGAGGAACCCCCAGUG
rnacentral:rRNA from 1 species